UGGAAAAUGGAUUAUUGUACAUUUUUGUUAUAACUUAUGUUUAUUGUUAUUAAUAUUAUUAUAAUUUGUAUAUAUUUGUACGUGUUAGUGUUGUUAGUAUGGUCAGCUGAUUUUUGUUAUGAGCAUUUGAAGAAAUUGAAAUUCAAAGUGUCUGAUUUAGUUAUUGGAACAAGGAAUAAAUUAUUGUCACCUGCAGCAUCAUUUUCAUCUUCAU
rnacentral:lncRNA from 1 species